rnacentral:rRNA from 1 species
GUCCCUACGGGAGGCCGCAGUGAGGAAUAUUGGUCAAUGGGCGCAAGCCUGAACCAGCCAAGUCGCGUGAGGGAAGACGGCCCUACGGGUUGUAAACCUCUUUUGCCGGGGAGCAAGCCUGAGCACGUGUGCCCAGGCGGAGAGUACCCGGAGAAAAAGCAUCGGCUAACUCCGUGCCAGCAGCCGCGGUAAUACGGAGGAUGCGCGCGUUAUCCGGAUUUAUUGGGUUUAAAGGGUGCGUAGGCGGUCCGUUAAGUCAGCGGUAAAAUUGCGGGGCUCAACCCCGUCGAGCCGUUGAAACUGGC